UUUCGAAUCAUUCACAAUGGGCGAAAGCCUGAUGGUGCGACGCCGCGUGGGGGACGAAGGUCUUCGGAUUGUAAACCCCUGUCACCGGGGACAAAACGUUGUUUGUUAAUAGCGAACGACCUGAUUUAACCCGGAGAGGAAGCAGUGGCUAACUCUGUGCCAGCAGCCGCGGUAAUACAGAGACUGCAAGCGUUGUUCGGAUUCACUGGGCGUAAAGGGUGCGCAGGCGGCCGGAUGUGUCGGGUGUGAA
rnacentral:rRNA from 1 species